ACUACCACAUAUGCAUGAACAUCCAUAUGGUGAAUAUCUCUUUUAAAGAGAAUAUUAUACCAUUAUAAUCAUGGUCAAAAUUAUAUGCAAGAUAUGUUUCUUGCAUUAUUAUUGUUCUUUAAUAGUCACAUUGCCAAAAUAUUUUGACGUACAAUAGGUACGUUACCAAUGAUCAUUCAUGCCUUAAUAAUGAUAUUAUUUUCUUAUAUCAUCUCAACCCUCCUUCUAGAGGUGAGUAUGGUAUAUUUAAUACCAAUAGCAUGUUCAUAUUCUUUUAAGAAUGAAUAUGUAUUCAUAACUUAGAUGUUGUCACACUCACAUCACGAAUGGACCAUAAUCAUUUAUAUAUGCUUUAUAAAAUCUCAUAUUGUCAAAUUGAUGACAAAUAUUACUUUCACUGAGUGAAGGAUUAUUUUGAGACUCCUUAUUAUCUUCAUUAUCACAAUGAUGACGAUUAUAAUUUCGUCUAUUGCCACGUUCAUAAAUGCGUUUAACAUUUGAUUUGCUAUUCUUUGCAAAUGAAUAAUCUUUUGCACCUCGUUUUCACAAAUAGAGGCACGUGGAUCAAGAUGAGAUAAUGAUGGAUUUUUUCACAAAAUUUCCCGUUUGGUUUCACCAACUUCUCCCCUGUGAUAAUUUGUCAGUCUAAGACGAACUAGCAUUGCUGCAUGCAAAAUGGCGUGACCCCAAACCGAAGUUGAAAGCCUCAUUUUCAUGAGUAACGGUCUCGCUAUCAACUGCAGAUGUUUAAUUAAAUAUUCUGCAAGACCAUGUUGAGUGUGAACAUGAAGUACAAGAUGUUCCACUUUUAUCUCAAUUAAUAAGAAAUAAUCAUUAAAUGCUUGGGAUGAAAACUCAACAACAUUAUCUAGUCUAAUAGACU
rnacentral:lncRNA from 1 species